GGGGGUGCAGAGAAAGCAAUGACUGCCUGGUGGCCUGGCAUCAUGGGAAGGAAGGUCUGGUGGAAGUCCUCCAAAGCCAGAGAGCCGCCUGAAAACAGGAGGCAGAGCACACCUCUCGCCUGGCAGGUGGGCUUCUUGAGAUCGCUAACUCCGCCCUAACGCCAAGAAACUGAGCCCGAACUCCAAAGCAGGGAAGAAAAUGCUGCCUUUGAAAUUGUUUGCACACGACAAACUCCAGGUCCAGGCCCCCACCCAGGCACCCCAUAUGUCCACAGUGCCACCGCCAGGAAAAGACAAGGACCUGGGGCCUGGCUCUGAGACAAGCUUCUCCGAGAGAGACCGAGCUCGCCCCAGGGCGGGAAAGGAAGCCAGAAAGCUCCGGGCGCCGCGGACCAGAGCUUGGAGGGACGAGGGGGACCCAGGCCACGCAGGCCCGGCUCCCAGAGCGGAAACAGUGGGAGUGUGCAGAAAGGGUUGAAGUCUUUGGAGGCAGAUAAGCCCGCCUUGCAAUCCUGAUUUAACUGCUGACCCAGCUUUGUGAUCUUCAGCAAGUUCUUCAGCUCUGAACAUCAGCUUCUUUAUCUGUAAGAUGAAAUUCAAUAGUAGAUACAGUGCCUAACCCACAGCAAGUAAGUAUAGAGUAUUUUCCUUCUCUGGUCUCCCACCAUUUUUUAAAUAAGAAAAGUAACUAGAACCUAAAGUCCUAUACUGAUUCUCAACUGCUGGUGAUUUUGCCCCCCAGGGACGCUGAGCCACUUCUGCAGACAUUUUCGAUUGUCACAACUGGGGGGAGGGGUACCUACUGGCAUCUAAACAUCCUGCAAGGCACAAGACAGCCUCUACAACAAAAAAUGACCUAGUCUAAAAUGUCAAUAGUGCCAGUGUUUUAAGAAGUUUGCAGCAGGAUAAUCUGGCUAAGAGGUCAUUCAUGGUAGACUAGUUCCAUCUUUUUAACUUUCAUCCCCAAGAAAAGAGUUAUGUCUUGCAUCAAGAUGAACAAAGCAUUGUGGGGAUCACAGCAAUUAUUUUUAUACACAAAGCCUUCACUUAACAUGAAAAAUGCAAAUUGGAAUUUUAUCUUUUCAUUACUAAAGGAAUAAAUACAGUCCAGACAUCAUUCCAUGUUUCCAUUUGUCCUUAGACACUUCUGUAUUUUCUCUCUCUCUCCUUCAUUCCUCAUUUACCCUGAAGUUGACAGUAUAGUCCCUGCCCCAAGGAACAUACAGCCUCCCUUAGAGGUGGAUUAAUGCAGAUGCAACAAUUAAGGAACAAUAGAAGAUAACAUAUAAUUAAGCUUUAAUUGCAGCACCUGACUAAGGUGGCUCAGGAAAGGGAAAUGAGUGCAGGCAGCAAAGCUGGGCUUGCCUGUGGGGCCGAGGUGUUCAGGAAAUGUUUGUUGCAUAAAAUGAAAUAGGAAGAGUUCCUUCCACAGAGUUGGACUCCAGCUGGUAUAUAAACUCCAAUACAGGAUUUAAACUGCUAGAUUUUAUAAAUGUGUAUUGGUGUCUGGCUAUGAAUUUAUUUUUCUUAAAGCAUCUAGUUCAAACUUUUAACUUUUAACCAUUUAUGUUUCCUAAAAUGACUGAACUUUAAUAAAACCAAAACGCUCAUUCAUUUGACAAAUA